rnacentral:misc_RNA from 1 species
AUUGGAAGGAAAAGAUUAGGGCAUCUUCAAAGCUUGUUUAAGUUGAGCAAAUGCUGCUGGAUGCAUGCUACUAAUGGCUGCAUUAAAGGAAUCUCCAUGGAGCGCGGCACAAGUCUGAAGAUUUCCACGUACAGAAUCUUCUAGUGACAACUGAUUGAUAGGAUCUGAAAUCUUGAUCUGUCGUCUACUAAGCUCCUUGUUUGGUAUGGUUUCCACACAAUUGGCCGAGCUAGUAUAUUCAUCACUGGACUCCUCUGUUUGGUCGUCAAUUCCACCCAAAA